rnacentral:rRNA from 1 species
UACGUAGGUGGCAAGCGUUGUCCGGAAUUAUUGGGCGUAAAGCGCACGUAGGCGGACUCUUAAGUCGGUGGUGAAAUCCUGGAGCUCAACUCCAGAACUGCCUUCGAUACUGAGAGUCUCGAGUCCGGGAUAGGUGAGUGGAACUGCGAGUGUAGAGGUGAAAUUCGUAGAUAUUCGCAAGAACACCAGUGGCGAAGGCGGCUCACUGGCCCGGUACUGACGCUGAGGUGCGAAAGCGUGGGGAGCAAACAGG